rnacentral:rRNA from 1 species
AACGAACGCUGGCGGCAUGCCUAACACAUGCAAGUCGAACGAGGCCUUCGGGUCUAGUGGCGCACGGGUGCGUAACGCGUGGGAACCUGCCCUUAGGUUCGGAAUAACUCCCCGAAAGGGGUGCUAAUACCGGAUAAUGUCUUCGGACCAAAGAUUUAUCGCCUUUGGAUGGGCCCGCGUUGGAUUAGCUAGUUGGUAGUGUAAAAGCCUACCAAGGCGACGAUCCAUAGCUGGUCUGAGAGGAUGAUCAGCCACACUGGGACUGAGACACGGCCCAGACUCCUACGGGAGGCAGCAGUGGGGAAUAUUGGACAAUGGGCGAAAGCCUGAUCCAGCAAUGCCGCGUGAGUGAUGAAGGCCUUAGGGUUGUAAAGCUCUUUUACCCGGGAUGAUAAUGACAGUACCGGGAGAAUAAGCUCCGGCUAACUCCGUG